rnacentral:rRNA from 1 species
ACCAUGCAGUCGAACGGUAGCACAGAGAGCUUGCUCUCGGGUGACGAGUGGCGGACGGGUGAGUAAUGUCUGGGAAACUGCCUGAUGGAGGGGGAUAACUACUGGAAACGGUAGCUAAUACCGCAUAAUGUCGCAAGACCAAAGAGGGGGACCUUCGGGCCUCUUGCCAUCAGAUGUGCCCAGAUGGGAUUAGCUAGUAGGUGGGGUAACGGCUCACCUAAGCGACGAUCCCUAGCUGGUCUGAGAGGAUGACCAGCCACACUGGAACUGAGACACGGUCCACACUCCUACGGGAGGCAGCAGUGGGGAAUAUUGCACAAUGGGCGCAAGCCUGAUGCAGCCAUGCCGCGUGUAUGAAGAAGGCCUUCGGGUUGUAAAGUACUUUCAGCGGGGAGGAAGGUGUUGUGGUUAAUAACCGCAGCAGUUGACGUUACCCGCAGAAGAAGCACCGGCUAACUCCGUGCCAGCAGCCGCGGUAAUACGGAGGGUGCGAGCGUUAAUCGGAAUUACUGGGCGUAAAGCGCACGCAGGCGGUCUGUCUAGUCUGAUGUGAAAUCCCCGGGCUCAACCUGGGAGCUGCAUUCGAAACUGGCAGGCUGUAUCUUGUAGAGGGGGUAGAAUUCCCGUGUAGCGGUGAGUGCGUAGAAUCUGGAGAAUACCGUGGCGAAGGCGGCCCCUGGACAAGACUGACGCUCUGUGCAAAACGUGGGAGCAACGAGAUAUAUACCUGGUAUCACCCGUAAAAUGUCAUUUGGAGGUGUGCCUUGAGCGUGGCUCCCGAGCUACGCGUUAAUCGACGCCUGGGGAUACGCCGCACGUUAAACUCAAUGAUUGACGGGGCCGCACAGCGGGGAGCUGUGGUUAUUCAUGCACGCAAGAACUUACUGGUCUGACUCACGAACUUACAGAGAGGAUGGUGCUUCGGAAUGUAAAAGGUGUGCUGGUGUCUCCCUCUGUUGAAAUGUGGUUAGUCCGCACAAGCCAACU